rnacentral:rRNA from 1 species
AUGAGUCGACCUGAUGGGAUCAACAUCCCUGACGGCAAGUUCUACCUUGGAGAUGCUGGCUAUGCAUGUCGGUCGGGUAUUCUUCCAUCCUUCAGGAAAACAAGGUACCAUCUCAACGAGUUCUCUGGUAGGAACUUUCCUAGGACUGCACAUGAGCUAUUUAAUCUCAGACACUCCAGCCUUAGAGUAACUGUUGAGAGGACAUUUGGAGCUCUGAAGAAUAGGUUUAAGAUCCUGGAUCAGAAGCCAUUCCACCCAUAA